rnacentral:rRNA from 1 species
AUUGAACGCUGGCGGCAUGCCUUACACAUGCAAGUCGAACGGUAACAGGUCUUCGGAUGCUGACGAGUGGCGAACGGGUGAGUAAUACAUCGGAACGUGCCUAGUAGUGGGGGAUAACUACUCGAAAGAGUGGCUAAUACCACAUGAGAUCUACGGAUGAAAGCAGGGGAUCGCAAGACCUUGUGCUACUAGAGCGGUCGAUGGCAGAUUAGGUAGUUGGUGGGAUAAAAGCUUACCAAGCCGACGAUCUGUAGGUGGUUUGAGAGGACGAACAGCCACACUGGGACUGAGACACGGCCCAGACUCCUACGGGAGGCAGCAGUGGGGAAUUUUGGACAAUGGGCGAAAGCCUGAUCCAGCAAUGCCGCGUGCAGGAUGAAGGCCUGCGGGUUGUAAACUGCUUUGGUACGGAACGAAAAGCCCCGGGUUAAUACCCUGGGGUCAUGACGGUACCGUAAGAAUAAGCACCGGCUAACUACGUGCCAGCCGCCGCGGUAA